rnacentral:lncRNA from 1 species
CCUGUGUUUCAGUUUGUGCCUCUUGUCCCCAAUAUCUUCUAUGACAGAGGCCCUGAAAUGACAGCCAAAUAUAGAAUUAGAGGACUCCAUGUUGAAAUGGUGCCAGCAUCUCUGAACAUCAAGGGAAUACAGAAAAAGGACAGCAGAAAAAAAAAGCUACAGUGAGGGGAAGUGCCUUAUCUGUGGUCCCAUCAAAUGUAAAUGAAAAGGAUGAAAACAGAAGGGGACACCAGGCACUGAGUGCUGGAAUUCUGCUCAAAGGAAGCAAGACAGAUGGGAAGAGAACAAAUCCACACCUGUCAAGUGUCACAUCUUUGCCGCUUUUGCUUCUACGUGUUGAAUCCUGGCAUACAGUCCCCAACAAACGGAUGCUUUGAUGCUGAUAGUUCAGCUCUGGAUUCCUCUUUUCCUCCAGACCAGAUGUUUGACUUCUCCCUGCUAAUGGUAACAUGGUGCUACCUCAUUAUACACCUCUCUCUGGAAAUGAUGCCAGGGCUGCUUCAAUGCCAGCCAAGAGCCUUGCAGACUCAAUGAGACAGCUGGCCUCCUCCAUGGGGAUGGGCUGCUUUACCUUUUGGAUCCAGGCAGUCACUGUGAGCUCAGAUCCAGCCUGCUGCAAAUGAUUUUUCAUAGGCAGGUGAGAACAAAAGGGCUUUGAAAACCUACUUCAAUAGAAUCUGGAGACAUGGAGCUCUCCUGAUUAAAAAAAAAAAAAACAAACAUAUACACAGUCCAGUUGCAUUUUCAUCUCAAUUGAUUUUUGUAUGAGAUGGAGAAGUGAAUUCGUCAAACAAAAGCGUUCAUAGAAAUCUUUACAUAAAAUUAAGUAGAUUUUUUCAUGCACAACAGCUGUGUUGUGUUUGCAAAAAUCAAAUAAUUCCCUUAUAAAGCUCACAAACUGUAAGUUGAUUGCUUUGAUCUUGUCCACAACAUAUGCUAAUCCUCAAAUAUCCAUGGAAGAAGUGGGUGAGAUAAUGCAAACAAAAUAAACACCUGGUUAAGAUAAAACA